UGGAGGUAAAUGAAUGUAAACGUUGGAUGGAAGGGGAUAGAAGUGCACACUUAUAUAUGCUUUGAAUGUCUUUUUCACAAAAACCUGUUUGAAAACUCGCAGAAACUACUAACUAAACCCCAGCGAGAAGGACUCGUCCAGCAGGAAAGAGAGAGUUCCUUUGAUUCUUCUGAUUCCCCCCACCACAAACCGUUCUUCAAUACCAUUAGCUGUCCCAUAAUAUCGCAAUAAUUAUCAUACUGUGAGAUUAAUACAGUAACAAAACUGAACCAUGUGAUAUACUGUCGAUAUUGUUAUAUUCCUAGCUUUGAAUACCUUUUUCCCUUAAUUAGUAAAAUCAACAUUAAAAACUAUUUCAUAUUUAACUUGGGUUACCUUUGUCUGAAAUUUACAUGUGUUUGAUGAUCUUAAACAUUAAAGUGGGGAAACUGAAAAAAAAAUAAGAAUUUCAGAAGGGGGCAAUACAUUUUUCACCACACUGUAUAUUUUUCUUGUGAGCUAAACUGUUUGUGUUGUGUCCGGCAGAGGUUCAGCAGCUCAUUGGUCAUCAGGAAGACCUUCCCCCUCAGCCGCAGUGGGGGAGGUGUUGUGUCCGGCAGAGGUUCAGCAGCUCAUUGGUCAUCAGGAAGACCUUCCCCCUCAGCCGCAGUGGGGGAGCUCCAGCUUGCAGCAAGAGCAUGCACAAUCCCUCCACAUUAAAAAGGAAGAGGAGUAUCGACAGGCCUCACGAGUUAAAGACAAAAAUGUGGAGGCUGACAUCAGUAAAUUGCCGCUGCCUGGUGUCUCUGUGGAGAGUGAAGGCGAACAACCGAAGUUGUCACAGCUUCAGUAUCACAGUCUAAGUGAAGACCCGUGUGGAGGACCACCACCAGACAACUUCUUAGCUCCCCUGUCAGACAGUGAUGACAUAGAAGAACCUUUGAGGAGCCACACAAACCGCGAAGGUGACGACAAACAGUCGAAAUGCUCUGAAAAGAAGACAACUCUUAGCAAAAAACAAACUUCACCAAUGCGUAAAUUUUUUUUUACCUGCUCAGUUUGUGGUAAACGUUGUACCAACAAAUCUACAUUGGGUAAACACAUGACAACACACAGGGGAGGAAAACCCCAUAGUUGUUCAACUUGUGGUAAAAUGUAAAAUCUCGAAAGCCACACAUGGUAGCACAUAUGAGAACACACACAGGAGAGAAACUCUUUAGUUGUUCAGUUUGUGAUCAAACAUUCCCUCGAAAGGACCAUGUGAAAUCACACAUGAAAAUACAUACAGGAAAAAAAUCCCUUUAGUUGCUCAGUUUGUGGGCAAAGAUUUGCUAUACAGCUAAACAUGAUAAAACACAUGACAAUACACACAGGCAGUACCUGCACUGCAAAAGACAAUGGACUCACUCAUGAUAAGACACACAUGAGAAAAAAAACCUUAAGUUGUUUAGUUUGUGGUAGAGGAUUCCCUUAAAAGCAAAUAUGAUAAAACAUGAGAAAACACACAGGAGAAAAACCCUUUAGUUGCUCAACUUGUGGGCAACAAUUCUCUCAAUAAAGUCCAACUUUGGUAAAAACUCUUAAGGUGUCCUGUAUAAUGAUUCUGAAUAUGGGAGGUUGAAAUUGUUGAAUGUUGAAGCUAUGGGUCAGACAUUGCAAGCAGCAUUGGAAGAUUUAUUUGAAUACAUAAUUGUAUGCCAUUGUUCUUUUGGAUAAAACAUGAGGUUUUUUUAGAUACUAUUGGCUGACAUUCUGCUUUGAUUUGCAAGCCCAAACUUGAGGAACUAGACUUUACGCCGAUCUGAUCGGCUCGAUCGGUAUCGGCCGAUAAUUAUCUUUUCAUGCUGAUCGGCUUUAAUGUCAUAAUUCGCCAAUCCGAUCAGUGACGUCAUUGAUCGGCUCCACAAAAGAAAUUUACUGGUGGGACUGGGAUCAGGCCUGAGCCCCUUCCUGUUUACAGUGGUGAUGGAUAGGCUGACAGAUGAGGUUAGACUGGAAUCACCGUGGAACUUGAUGUUCGCAGAUGACAUUGUGAUCUGGAGGGAAAGCAGGGAACAGGUGGAGGAACAGUUAGAAAGAUGGAGGCAUGCGGUGCAAAUGAGAGGAAUGAAGAUUAGCCGAAGUAAGACAGAAUAUGUGCAUGAACGAGAAGGGGUGGUGGGGUAAGAGUGAGGCUACAUGGUGAAGAGAUAGCGAGGGUGGAGGACUUUAAAUACUUGGGGUCAACAGUCCAGAGCAAUGGUGAGUGUGGUCAGGAAGUGAAGAAACGGGUCCAAGCAGGUUGGAACGGGUGGAGGAAGGUGUCAGGUGAGUCGUGUGACAGAAGAGUCUCUGCUAGGAUGAAGGGCAUGGUUUAUAAGACAGUGGUGAGGCCAGCCGUGAUGUACGGAUUAGAGACAGUGGCACUGAAGAGACAACAGGAAAGCAGAGCUGGAGGUGGCGGAAAUGAAGAUGUUGAGGUUCGCUCUCGGAAUGACCAGGUUGGAUAAAAUUUGAAAUGAGCUCAUCAGAGGGACAGCCAAGGUUGGAUGUUUUGGAGACAAAGUUAGAGAGAGCAGACUUCGAUGGUUUGGACACGUCCAGAGCAAGAGAGCUAGAGGAAGACCAAAGAGAAGGUUGAUGGAUGUCGUGAGGGAAGACAUGAGGGCAGUCGGUGUUCGAGAGGAGGAUGCAGGAGAUAGGCUCUCAUGGAAAAGCAUGACGCGCUGUGGCGACCCCUAAAGGGACAAGCCCAAAGGAAAAGGAAGUUGUUUUUAAAAAGAUAGUUUAUCGAUCCAUUGUGAUCUGUAAAGUGCACGCAUAAAUGAAAACACAAAUUCAUAAUAUUGUUCAAAUUGCACUCAUUUUGUUUAGACAUUUCUCAUUGCUCAUAUGAUUUGCAACGAGGUAAUAAUAAAUGUGAAUAUUUUCCAAAUAUAGUACUUGUAAUUAUUUGCACCCAAACAGUGGGAACAUUUGGGGAUUGCCGUUGUUCAUAUCUUAUUAUUAGCCCACUUGAGAUCAAAUUGGGGAGAAUGUAUCCCAAAAACUAAAACUAGUUUGGCACUCCUGAUCGUUUUUUCCAGCAUAAAUAAUGGCGAAGCAUUGCAGUCACGGCUUGUGUAAUAGUAAAGCUCGAUAUCCCGAGCGACUGGAAGGCGCUCGGCAACUUUAUUCCAUUUCCUACACUGAAAAGUGAUGGAAAAAUGUAAAUAAGUUAUCAUGUGUUGUGCUUUUCUGCUUGCUUCUACUUAGAGAAAUGUUUUAUCACUGCAAAGCUUUCUCCCACAGGAUGAGUCAUGUGUUUGCAGGUGCAAGGACAAAUUUGAGCAGAGGAGUCUUCCUGUGUCUUGAUAAGAAGUAUAGAAUUCUUCUGUCUCAACCACAACAAAGAGUGUUAUGUGCUGAUCACAUGAGUUGCAACAAGCAUGUAUGCCCCCACCUUUUUAUUGUUGAAACUCAAAUGUAACAAGGGAACUGCCCUAAAGUAAUAAAAAGAGAGGGUACGGACAGAGUGGACUUAGAAAAAGGUUUGGAGACUGUAACUAAGUUGACUCUUGGCCGUUUUCUCCUUACAAGUCUGAAAACUGAACUAUCUCUGUGUCUGUCUUGAUUUUUGAACGGUGACUGCAUGCUCGCUACGUCCUCGUGUCUUCAUCAUCGCGGUCCCUUCACAAUGCAAUGACUGUGAGUAUUGCGUCAUCUUUGUGCGUUAACGUGACGUUCAAUGACACGUGGCGAUGGAAGAACGCCGGAACGUGCGGAAGUGCCCUUGUUAAACUUCCAUCGGAAUCCUAAUGGUGUCUUUAUUUUAGACAGUUUUCUGUUACAGUUUCACUCCAGUUCCUCGAAGUGAGUAAGUUCAGAAUGAAAAGGAGUUUGGCCGAGUGCCUCGUCAUUGUUGACGCUUGCAAGCACAACACAACACAGGUCAGCAGUCUUCCCCGUGAUUCUGAAGCCUACUAAGCCAGACCGAGACCAUUUAAAGGCUGAGGAAAACCUCUGGAGGGGUUUUGCAUUAAUUAGCUGACAAGAUGGGGGACACGGAGAGCCUACAAUGCUGCACUUUGUCAUGAUAUUCUAAUUUUGUGAAAUACUGGAUUUUUGUUUUGUUUUUUUCUUUCUGCUGUAAUCAUCAAAAUUGUUGAAAUAUUCUACUUUGUGUGUGGUGAACUAAUAUAACAUCCAAGUUUCACUUUUUGAAACAAAUUAUUGAAAUAAAUGGACUUUCCCCUCGA